UACGUAGGGGGCUAGCGUUGUCCGGAAUCAUUGGGCGUAAAGCGCGUGUAGGCGGUCCGGUAAGUCCGCUGUGAAAGUCGAGGGCUCAACCCUCGAAAGCCGGCCGAUACUGUCGGACUAGAGUCCGGAAGAGGCGAGUGGAAUUCCCGGUGUAGCGGUGAAAUGCGCAGAUAUCGGGAGGAACACCAAUGGCGAAGGCAGCUCGCUGGGACGGUACUGACGCUGAGGCGCGAAGGCGUGGGGAGCGAACGGG
rnacentral:rRNA from 1 species